UCCAGCCAUGCCGCGUGUGUGAAGAAGGCCUUUUGGUUGUAAAGCACUUUAAGCGAGGAGGAGGCUACCGAGAUUAAUACUCUAGGAUAGUGGACGUUACUCGCAGAAUAAGCACCGGCUAACUCUGUGCCAGCAGCCGCGGUA
rnacentral:rRNA from 1 species